AGAUAUAUUUAACUGUAGAAAGAUGAAAAUCAUCUUUGAAAUUCAUUUGGAUAUUGCACUUUGCAAAGUGUCUUAAUUUUAUUUCCUUUUUGCUUUUCAGAACUGUAACCAUACAUGUAAUCUUUCUCUUCAAGAGGAAAAAUAGUAUUUCAUUUUAUUGAAAUGUAACUAAACAUAUAUAUAAUUACUAAAUAUUAAGUAUUAUAUAUAAAAUACUAAAUCUCAUGAGCCAAUUGUUGUCUUUAUGUCCAUUAUACACUAUUUAAAUACGUAAAGGGUGAGUGUCAGGGGGAUGUAGCCAGGCUCUUCUCAGUGACAUCCAAUGAUAGGACAAGGGGCAAUGGGUGCAAGCUGGAACAUAGGAGGUUCCGCUUAAAUAUGAGACAAAACUUUUUUUUACGGAGAGGGUGACAGAACACUGGACCAGGCUGCCCAGGGGAGUUGUGGAGUCUCCUCUGGAGACAUUCAAAACCCACUUGGAUGCGAUCCUGUGUGAUGUGAUCUAGGUGUUCCUGCUCGGGCAGGGGGAUUGGACUAGGUGAUCUUUCAAGGUCUCUUCCAAUCCCUAACAUUCUGUGAUUCUGUGAUUUAUUACUGCAUGUCGUUCUUUUUUUCUCUGCAUUUCAGUAAGCUGCUGGUGCUUUUCACUGUCCGUGAAAACUUUCCUGACAACACCCAAAUCUUCUUUUGCUUGUGAGAAAUGUUUUGCUUUGGACCUUCCAAAACAAGCCUGAAGGCAUUUUGGUGGUACAGACCAUAUGGCAAAAUUGCUAAAUUAUUAAAUCUACAGACUGGUAGACAAGCAAUGCUUUGAAUUUAUCCACCAACAAAGAAUUGCCAAGCUGUAUGAGGCAUUCAGUUUGUGGAUGUGAACUGGAUUGGAAACAUGUAUGAGAAGGAAAAGGCGCGCGUAAAGACGGGCCUCCAGACAGUAUGCAAGUACAGACAAAAGGAACAGGAACAGUAUAAACCUGAGACCUGGUACAUAGAGACAUCCUCCGAGAGAUCCUUGAGACAGAUGCCUUGAGAACCAUUUUGAGAACCAACCUUGAAGAAGCAUUUGAAUUGGAAAAAGCUGAAAACGAGUUCUUCGAUGAACACCCAUCACAAUGUCAUAACUUGUAGGUAAAAAAGCAAACAAACAAAUCCAUCAUUAACUUUGGCAGAGAGAAUUCUCAACAUUGACUAUUCAUUUCUGUAAUUAAAAUGCAAUUUUAAGCCAAUCGGUGGUAUCAGUUGAAGUUCAUGGUUUAUGGUGCCAGUGACUGAUAAAAAUAAGACUGCUUUCCUUUUUGUGACAUGCCCUCUGACUCAUAGGUAGGCAGCUAGUGGCUCUUGGUUACGCAAGUGUAACUUUGCAAAGUUCAGUGAAGUUAGUCCAGAUUUCCAUGAGUAAAAAUGCAUUUGUAUGGCCAACUGACUCAGCUGAUAUCUUUUUACUCUAGUGUAAGAUUAUCACCUUAUCUUAAUCUUACAUCAGAGACAGGAUUUUCUAAGAGUUCUUUAUAAACUGUAGAGUCAUGUAACAGAGUAAUUAAUCAGGUGUUCAGACAGCAGCUGUAACUUCCAUUUGCAGUAGAGAUCUGACAUCUCUUUACACUAGUUUUAGUCUAAUAAAAAUCUGUGGUAGAGAAUCA
ensembl:lncRNA